CACGUAGGGCGCGAGCGUUGUCCGGAAUUAUUGGGCGUAAAGAGCUCGUAGGCGGCCUGUUGCGUCCGCUGUGAAAGCCCGGGGCUUAACCCCGGGUCGGCAGUGGAUACGGGCAGGCUAGAGGUAGGUAGGGGAGAAUGGAAUUCCCGGUGUAGCGGUGAAAUGCGCAGAUAUCGGGAGGAACACCUGUGGCGAAAGCGGCGCACUGGACCAUAACUGACGCUGAUGCGCGGAAGCUAGGGGAGCAAACAGG
rnacentral:rRNA from 1 species